rnacentral:rRNA from 1 species
CACGUAGGGGGCAAGCGUUGUCCGGAUUUAUUGGGCGUAAAGAGCUCGUAGGUGGUUCGGUAAGUCGGGUGUUAAACCCCCAGCUCAACCUGGGGACGCCACUCGAUACUGCUGUGACUAGAGUCCGGUAGGGGAGCGUGGAAUUCCUGGUGUAGCGGUGAAAUGCGCAGAUAUCAGGAGGAACACCUGAGGUGAAGACGGGUUGCUGGGCCGACACUGACGCUGAGUGCGCGAAAGCCAGGGGAGCAAACGGG